GACCAAGGAGUCUAACAUGUGCGCGAGUCGUAGGGUUACGCUCAAAGCCCGAAGGCGCAAUGAAAGUGAAGGUCGGCCUCGAUUGCCGUUACCUAGGCGGGAUCCGUUCGGGCUUACCGGUCGUUCGCGGCUGAGCCCGGCGGCGCACCGCCGGCCCGUCUCGACCGCAUCGCCGGUGAGGCGGAGCGAGAGCGUACACGUUGGGACCCGAAAGAUGGUGAACUAUGCCCGGGCAGGACGAAGCCAGAGGAAACUCUGGUGGAGGUCCGUAGCGAUUCUGACGUGCAAAUCGAUCGUCGGACCUGGGUAUAGGGGCGAAAGACUAAUCGAACCAUCUAGUAGCUGGUUUCCU
rnacentral:rRNA from 1 species